UACGUAGGGUGCGAGCGUUGUCCGGAAUUACUGGGCGUAAAGAGCUCGUAGGUGGUUUGUCGCGUUGUUCGUGAAAACUCACAGCUUAACUGUGGGCGUGCGGGCGAUACGGGCAGACUAGAGGUAUGCAGGGGAGAACGAAUUCCUGGUGUAGCGGUGAAAUGCGCAGAUAUCAGGAGGAACACCGGUGGCGAAGGCGGUUCUCUGGGCAUGAUCUGACGCUGAGGAGCGAAAGUGUGGGGAGCGAACAGG
rnacentral:rRNA from 1 species